UAGUCCAUGCCGUAAACGUUGGGCACUAGNUGUGGGGGACAUUCCACGUUUUCCGCGCCGUAGCUAACGCAUUAAGUGCCCCGCCUGGGGAGUACGGCCGCAAGGCUAAAACUCAAAGGAAUUGACGGGGGCCCGCACAAGCGGCGGAGCAUGCGGAUUAAUUCGAUGCAACGCGAAGAACCUUACCAAGGCUUGACAUGGGCCAGACCGCCGCAGAAAUGUGGUUUCCCCUUUGGGGCUGGUUCACAGGUGGUGCAUGGUUGUCGUCAGCUCGUGUCGUGAGAUGUUGGGUUAAGUCCCGCAACGAGCGCAACCCUCGUUCUAUGUUGCCAGCACGUGAUGGUGGGGACUCAUAGGAGACUGCCGGGGUCAACUCGGAGGAAGGUGGGGACGACGUCAAAUCAUCAUGCCCCUUAUGUCUUGGGCUUCACGCAUGCUACAAUGGCCGGUACAAAGGGUUGCGAUACUGUGAGGUGGAGCUAAUCCCAAAAAGCCGGUCUCAGUUCGGAUUGGGGUCUGCAACUCGACCCCAUGAAGUCGGAGUCGCUAGUAAUCGCAGAUCAGCAACGCUGCGGUGAAUACGUUCCCGGGCCUUGUACACACCGCCCGUCAAGUCACGAAAGUUGGUAACACCCGAAGCCGGUGGCCUAACCCCUUGUGGGAGGGAGCUGUCGAAGGUG
rnacentral:rRNA from 1 species